rnacentral:rRNA from 1 species
CCUACGGGAGGCAGCAGUGGGGAAUAUUGGGCAAUGGGCUCACGCCUGACCCAGCAACGCCGCGUGAAGGAAGAAGGCUUUCGGGUUGUACACUUCUUUUGUCAGGGAAGAGUAGAAGACGGUACCUGACGAUUCAGCCACGGCUUACUACGUGCCAGCAGACGCGGUAAUACGUAGGUGGCAAGCGUUGUCCGGAUGUACUGGGUGUAAAGGGCAUGUAGCCGGGUUGAAAAGUCAGAUGUGAAAUCCUGCGGCUUAACCGCCGAACUGCAUUUGAAACUGGUGAUCUUGAGUACUGGAGAGGCAGACGGAAUUCGUGGUGUAGCGGUGAAAUGCGUAGAUAUUAGGAGGAACACCAGUGGCGAAGGCGGUCUGCUGGACAGCAACUGACGGUGAGGCGCGAAAGCGUGGGGAGCAAACAGGAUUAGAUACCCGAGUAGUC